rnacentral:rRNA from 1 species
CCUGCAGUCGAGCGAGGCCACCCGCAAGGGUGAGUCGAGCGGCGAACGGGUGAGUAACGCGUGGAUUAUCUGCCCUGAGGUGGGGGAUAACCCGGGGAAACUCGGGCUAAUACCGCAUAUGACCGUGAGGUCAAAGGGGGGUCGCAAGAUCUCUCGCCAUAGGAGGAGUCCGCGUCCGAUUAGCUAGUUGGUAGGGUAAUGGCCUACCAAGGCCACGAUCGGUAGCCGGCCUGAGAGGGUGAUCGGCCACACUGGAACUGAGACACGGUCCAGACUCCUACGGGAGGCAGCAGUGGGGAAUUUUGCGCAAUGGGCUAACGCCUGACGCAGCAACGCCGCGUGGAGGAUGAAGGUCUUUGGAUUGUAAACUCCUGUCAGCAGGGAAAAAGCGACCUGACCUAAUACGUCAGGGAGUUGAUUGUACCUGCAGAGGAAGCCCCGGCUAACUCUGUGCCAGCAGCCGCGGUAAUACAGAGGGGGCAAGCGUUAUUCGGAAUUAUUGGGCGUAAAGGGCGCGUAGGCGGCCUGGCAAGUGGAAGGUGAAAUCCCUCGGCUUAACCGAGGAACUGCCCUCCAAACUGCUUGGCUUGAGACCGGGAGAGGUGAGUGGAAUUCCCAGUGUAGCGGUGAAAUGCGUAGAUAUUGGGAGGAACACCAGUGGCGAAGGCGGCUCACUGGACCGGUACUGACGCUGAGGCGCGAAAGCGUGGGGAGCAAACGGGAUUAGAUACCCCGGUAGUCCACGCCGUAAACGAUGAGUGCUUGGUGUAGCGGGUAUCGACCCCUGCUGUGCCGAAGUCAACACAUUAAGCACUCCGCCUGGGGAGUACGGUCGCAAGGCUGAAACUCA